rnacentral:rRNA from 1 species
UACGUAGGUGGCAAGCGUUGCCCGGAAUUACUGGGUGUAAAGCGCGUGUAGGCGGCAGGCCAAGUCUGCGGUGAAAGCGCCCGGCUCAACUGGGCGAGGUCCGUGGAAACUGGUCAGCUGGAGGACGGUAGAGGCGAGUGGAAUUCCCGGUGUAGUGGUGAAAUGCGUAGAGAUCGGGAGGAACACCUGUGGCGAAGGCGGCUCGCUGGGCCGGUCCUGACGCUGAGACGCGAAGGCGUGGGGAGCGAACAGG